GAUUGAGCUCGAGCUAGCUCAAAUAAAGGCUCUUUGCUUUUGCAUCAGACUCGGCUUCCUGGUGGGCUUUAGGGAGCGCGAAUUCUGGGCAUAACGCUGCCUUGGUUUGGAAGUGUUUUUAAAUGAUUAAGGAGCAGAGAUGUGCAGGGUAACAAAAGAAAUGACUAAAGUUCUCUAUUUCAUUGGGAAUCCGGCCCGACUUAAAAGUCCUGUUGCGCUGCUAAUCAAAGUAUGAAAUACAGAGAGAGCUUGAAAACAGCAUUAAUCAUUAAUCUGGGGAAGUGCUUACGGUUAUGAAUUCUUCAAGAGUUUCGAAAAACUUGCAGCACUUUUCCAGAUAGUACUCGGGAGGCUGUGUGUUUUUAUUUUUCUUUUCCUCAAGUCCCUUUUGAAGAGAUAACCAAAAAUAGUGUCAGGGUCAAGCUCGGGAGUUGGGGGGGCGGAAUGAGCUAUCCCUUCACAAACGGCUCCGGAAAACAACAUACAAUUCUCCUGUUUUUCAGUAACUGUUUUGGCUCCACGUCUGAAGUAGGAAUCAGUCGCUAACGUUUUGCAGACUAACGUUCCCAUGAAGCCACAAAGCUGCCCUCAGACGUGACGGGAUGGGGCACAAACCAGUCUCUGCCAGAUUACAAGCACCAUGCACUUCUUACUUGCCCAGGGUAGCAAAUGCCUUUGAACCACACUCCUUCCGCCUGGAAGGAACAGUGGAGAUGUGACAACCAUCUGAUGAUUUCGAUCUGGAUAAACAGCUCCAAAGGGACAGGGCUGAAAACAGCGGUUCUCAAAAUGUGGUCCCUGGACCGAAGGCACCAUCACCAUCACCUGAGAACUUGCUAGAAAUGCAAAUCCUGGCUCCAGGCCAGAGCUACUGAACCUGACACUCUGGGGCCUCCAGAGUGGUGAGCGAUACAUGCCUUUUGUUUGAACCCCUCACACCCCGGCCUUUUUAUGAUAGCAUCCCAAAUGGACUAAGACAAGGACAUGAAUGGGAGAACUGGUCCACACAAAGACCUAACAUGCCAAGCCCCCUCCCGGGAAUAGCACAGCCGAAGCCUUCCCACACAACGCGUGGCGACUUUUGAGUAGCUUGGACCAAGAUUUAUUGUCAACAACCCAGUCGGUAACAGCUGUUUGCAUUCCUCAGCCCCUCCAUUGCCUCCUGAAUGUCAAGUCUCUUAGCUGAAAGAGCAUCCUUCAUUUGGCUAUGCCUGCUCAAAAGAAUUACUUUUGCACGGUAUGAUCUGCUCAGCUAUACCCAUCUUCCACAUCCAGUCCUCCCAAGCCGGACAUGAAUACAAAAGAAAUGGAAGAUUAAUUCCAGAUAGUACGUGGCUCAAGCCAAUUAACUCGGCGCACACUGGAUGGUCCCUAAUCGCUCUUCUAGCGAGCGGAGGCUCUGCGUUUCCCUUCUUACUGCCUUCUGGCCUCUCUUUGUAAAUACAUACUAGUCAAAAUUGAAUCUGUCUCAUUGCACUUCCCUUUAGGAGCCUGGCUCUCGAGCCACUUUGUUUUUUUCCCUUUUGCAACUGCGUUUCGUAGACUUGACCCUUGUUCCUCAUUUGUAAUCUUUCCUAGGUGGACUAGCUGAAUAAAUUCAACACCCACAAGGGGGACAUUUGUCACCGAAAGGUGACAGCUAAAGCAUCGCCACAGUGAAAAUGCAGCGGGGCGGGGGGGUGGGAGGUGGGGAGGGGACAAAGAAGACCCGAGGGCCUUUGCUUCCCCAUCAGAAGAACAGUGAGGCACCUUAAAGAAUCCAUGGUUGGGGGAUGUGGUUGCAUGAAGCUGACAACACCACCUGCUUUUUUUUUUUUCUUUUUUUUUUUUUUCUCCUGCAGUUUUGUCUGGUUUGGUUUUGGUUGGAUUUUUCAUACAUCUGUUGUGACUGUGCUACCCUAAGCAAAAAUGUAUGCCCAACGCACACACUGAUUUAUCACUGGGCCACAUUAAAUAUGAUCUCCUGUCUA